UACGUAGGGUGCGAGCGUUGUCCGGAAUUAUUGGGCGUAAAGAGCUUGUAGGCGGUCUGUCGCGUCUGCUGUGAAAAUCCGGGGCUCAACCCCGGACUUGCAGUGGGUACGGGCAGACUAGAGUGUGGUAGGGGAGACUGGAAUUCCUGGUGUAGCGGUGAAAUGCGCAGAUAUCAGGAGGAACACCGAUGGCGAAGGCAGGUCUCUGGGCCACUACUGAGGCUGAGAAGCGAAAGCAUGGGGAGCGAACAGG
rnacentral:rRNA from 1 species